GUUUAGUCUCCAUGUGAUGCAGGAAUUUUUAUUUUUUAUUUUGUCGUUGAUCUCCAAUUUCAUUCUAUUAUGAUCUGAUAAUAUGCAUGGUAGUAUCUCUACUUUUUUUUAUUUGCUAAGAGUUGCUUUGUAGCAUACUAUAUGGUCUAUUUUAGAGAAAGAUCCAUGUGCUGCUGAGAACAAAGUGUAUCCACUUGAUGCCAGUUAAAGUAUUCCAUAAAUGUCAGUUAAGUCUAAGUUAUUGAUUUUGUUAUUGAGUUCUAUAGUUUCUUUAUUCAACUUUUGUUUGGAAGAUCUAUCCAGUGGUGAGAGAGGUGUGUUAAAUUCCCCCAAAAUUAUUGUGUUGUGGUCAAUUUGACUCUUGAAUUUGAGAAGCGUUUUUUUUUAAUAAACAUAGCUGCACCAUUGUUUGGGACAUAUAUAUUUAUGAUUGUUAUGUCUUGUUGGUGUAUGGUUCCCUUGAGCAGUUUGUAAUGUCCAUCUUUAUCCCUUUUGAUUAAAGUUGGCUUGAAGUCUACUUUAUUUGACAUGCAUAUGGAAACCCCUGUUUGCUUCGCAGUCCAUAUGAAUGGUAUGAUUUUUCCCAACAUUUCAUCUUUACACAGUGUAUGUCUUUUCCUAUCAGAUGAGUCUCCUGGAGGCAGCAUAUUGUUGGAUCCUUUUUUAAUCCAAUCUGCUAGCCUAUGUCUUUUGAUUGGUCAGUUUAAGCCAUUAACAUGUAGGGUUACUAUUG
rnacentral:lncRNA from 1 species